rnacentral:rRNA from 1 species
UCCGAAGGGCAUUGCCUGUUGAGUAUCAUGAACAACUCAACUCUCACGGUUCGCCGCGAUGAGCUUGGACUUGGGGGUUUUGCUGGCAUGCAGCCGGCUCCUCUCAAAUGAAUCAGCUUACCAGUCUUUGGUGGCGUCACGGGUGUGAUAACUAUCUACGCUUGUGAGUCCGUCUGCCAGGUAACCUUCAGCGAUGGAGGUUUGCUGGAGCUUAUAAACGUCUCUCCUCAGCGAGGACAAAUUUUUUGAACGUUCGAUCUCAAAUCAGGUAGGACUACCCGCUGAACUUAGGCAUAUCAAUAAGCGGAGG